rnacentral:sRNA from 1 species
AAGCCUUGCUCCCGGAGACAUGGUCCGC